AAUAAUGGGCCGGCCCAAGUUACCUGACCAAACGAUGUUAAUCCACUUACUCACUUCAUGACCAUCCCCUCCUUCUCCAAUCUCUCACUCACCCUGUAGUUUCCGCCACUUCGCCGCUGCUCCUCUGCGUCGGAGAGACGACUUCAAUUGCAAGAUCCACUCCCGCACGCACAAGAUCUACUUCCUCCGAUGUACGCAUCGCGUCACCAUGUCAGUUCGUUAGUUGGAUCCUCACCAGGUCAGGCUACCUCAACCACUUCCAAGUGAACCUUCACAAACAACACAGUAUUACGUCUAAAAGAUAGCAAGUAAAUCCAGAGUAUUUCAGUUUUGAGCUGAUGUUUUUUUCCUAGAGGCAAGGUCAAAAAGAUGGCAAAGUUCUACUUUUGAGACAAAGGCAGCAGUGUAAUUAUUAGCCGUCAUUAAAAUCAAUAUUGUCUCAUGAAAAUGCCUACCCUAUUGACCCACUAAUGGCAAUUACAAAAAUGUUUGGUUCAUCACGCCUAAUUCAAAUUAGCUUCAAUGCCUCAUGUUUACUUCCAUAGCCUGAACUGAUAAAUCACUGAAACUUCUUCUCUGCUAAACUUAUGUCUACUUCCUAAUCAACACCCGAGUAAUAACAUGGUAGAUCGUCAUACAUGUUUAUCUCCUGUUUUCUUGAUGUCUGAGUAACAGUAUAUGCAUGUGUACUCUACAGUUUAAACAAGCUCAAUGCCCUAGUAUUCUGGUUGAUAGCUGACCGUUGAGUCAUUGGCACUAAGGUUGCUAAUAGAAAGGCACACUUAUAGAGAGUCCAUGAACAAGAUAGCAAGCAGAAAACAUAACAUAAAAUAGAGAUGUAAUUCCCCUUUGUACUACGAUGUAUGCUCUUGUUUGGGACAAACCAUAUAUCUUCAAAAAUUUGUACCUUAUCAGCUAUUUGAUUUGGUUACCGCAGUUCGGUCAUUUCCCUCUUGUGAGUUCUGCACCAUCCUUACAUGAUUCAUCAACAACCACCUAUAAACGAUCAGCAGAAAAACAAAAUCAAAGUGAAAUCAAAUGGAAUCGCAUGUAGGUAGUAGCGAAGUACAAUAUAUGCCACUCCAUUGGCACUUUGCCUGUACACC
rnacentral:lncRNA from 1 species